CUCCUGAGAAUAUCCCAUUGGUUCCAUUAAGAAAUGUCAGCUCAAUCAAGUUGAAGUAUUUAUUUAAAAUACUAAUAUUAGAAGGAAGAAAAACUACCACCAUAUUCCACCUGCCUUCCCAAACACUUCCUCUUUUCUGACUAGGACUGGUGUAGCUGAUAGCUGCUUUAUAGAGGGAUGUUCUACUUACAGUGAUAUGUGGUUGUCUAACCUAGCUAACGUAAAUUCAUAUAAUAAUAAUGAAUGCCAUUUAGCAGACACUUUUAUGCAAAGCCACUUAUGUGUGCAUAUACAGUAUUUUAUAUAUGGGUGGUCCCGGGAAUCAAACCCUGAAUCCUGGCAAAAGAAGUGCCAUGCUCUCACCAACUGAGCAAUACAGUUUAAUUGUUGAAUGCACUGACUGUCAGCUAAAUUACCAAAAUGUACAUCUAAACAACAACAGAGUUGUCUCUUGAUUUCUGUAGAGGUUCUGUCUGUAACAGUGUUUGUAGUGAGCUCAGUAAGGUUGUAUCAUGGUUUCUGUAGUGGUUCUGUCUGUAACAGUGUUUGUAGAGAGCUCAGUAAGGUUGUAUCAUGGUUUCUGUAGAGGUUCUGUCUGUAACAGUGUUUGUAGAGAGCUCAGUAAGGUUGUAUCAUGGUUUCUGUAGAGGUUCUGUCUGUAACAGUGUUUGUAGAGAGCUCAGUAAGGUUGUAUCAUGGUUUCUAUAGAGGUUCUGUCUGUAUCAGUGUGUAUAAAUAGGGUUCCACCCAC